CUUUAUGUUGCAGUGAGAGAGAAUUAGGAUCCUCAUCUUCUUCUCUUUCUUUCUCAUUCAUUCAUCGAAUUCAAGCAUUUUCCUCAUUCUUCACUCUCACUCAGGUAUUUCUUUUCUUUAUUCUGUUCCUUUUUCUCCAUUAUGCAGUUUCAAUUUUGCACCUUGUUAAUUUGCUAUCAUUUUUUCAAUUCAAUUUAACAUCUUUCCGAUUACAAUUUACUUUUUAAGGAAAAGGGAAUUGCGGGUUUUGUUCAAAUUCUCAUCUUUUUUUGUAUGAUUUUUGUUAUUAUUGUAUGGUGAUUGAUUCAAAUGAUUUGUUUUGUUUGGCUGUUUUUACAAAAAAAAAUAUCCAGAAAAUUCAUUUUUCACGUGUUUAAGCCUAUUUACUUCUAAAAUAUUAUCAAUAAAAAUUCUCUUGAAUAACAAAAACAAAAUAAUAACACAAGAUUUAAGUUUAAUUAUUCUAAGUUGAAGUACAACAUAAAAAAUUAAAAACAAGAUAUCAUAAAAUUCAUAAAAUAACACACUAAAAUUUAUAUCAUAUUAGGGUUUACUUUUUUAAACUAUGCUAUUUAUAUGAGAUGUGCGGAUAUACGAAUUUGCGGAUCGGAUCCGCGUAUAUCACUGCCAAAUCUGCAAUCCGAUUCUAUUAUAGUGCGGAUUGGAUCUGAUCCGAUUCGAUGACUAUGCGGAUCGGAUAAUAUCCACAAAAUUCAGAUCGAAUGCGGAUAAUUACCGUGAAUAUUAUCCGAUUAUGUGCAGCUCUAGUUAUGCUAAGACAUGGCAAUGUAUGGUUGUAAUUUUCAGGCCAAAUUCAAUUCCUUAAUCCAACAAUAAUAUCCUUCAACAAAUAAUAUUCGUGUCCCUUUCACCUUUGAUAGUGACUCAUAUAAAAUUGUUGUUGUUAUAAAGAUAUUUAGAUUAGAUUUCGACACAUUGUUAUGUUAUGACUGAUGACACUUAAUCUCAUUAAAAGAAUAAUUUAACUUAUCACAUUUGAACAUGUUAUCAAAUUUGUGUUCUUUGGAAGAUAUUUGGGCCAAAUAAUAAUUUCAAUUUGAUUAUUUAUGUUAGAUUAAUGCAACUUUUGAUGAUAGUAAGAUUAUAUAUUUAAUUUAGAUUAGAUUAGAUUAGAUAAACGUAGUUACGCAAAUGGUUAGGUUGAAAGAGUGGAUAAAUAUCCAUGAUGACGUGUUUAUCUUACAUGCACUAUUUUUGUAAUGUUCUACACACUCCUAUUACGUGCCAAAUUUAAUUUAAUAUUAAUUAAUAUGUGUUAUUUUCAAUUUGAAUUGACCUUAUUAUCCUUCAGCUUUAAACAAAUUCUUAGUUCUGAUACCUAUUAUUUUGGGGGGCAUUUUAGUCUUUUUGAACUUGUUGUCCAAAGCACAAAGAGCAAAACGUCAUCGUUCUGCUACCAACGCUAAAAACUCAAACUUUAUGUUGCAGUGAGAGAGAAUUAGGAUCCUCAUCUUCUUCUCUUUCUUUCUCAUUCAUUCAUCGAAUUCAAGCAUUUUCCUCAUUCUUCACUCUCACUCAGGUAUUUCUUUUCUUUAUUCUGUUCCUUUUUCUCCAUUAUGCAGUUUCAAUUUUGCACAUUUGCUAUUUGCUAUCAUUUUUUCAAUUCAAUUUAACAUCUUUCCGAUUACAAUUUACUUUUUAAGGAAAAGGGAAUUGCGGGUUUAUUCUCAUCUUUCAUCUUUUUUUGUAUGAUUUUUGUUAUUAUUGUAUGGUGAUUGAUUCAAAUGAUUUGUUGAAGGGUUGGANN
rnacentral:lncRNA from 1 species